rnacentral:rRNA from 4 species
AGACCCGAAACCCGGUGAUCUAGCCAUGGGCAGGUUGAAGGUUGGGUAACACUAACUGGAGGACCGAACCGACUAAUGUUGAAAAAUUAGCGGAUGACCUGUGGCUGGGGGUGAAAGGCCAAUCAAACCGGGAGAUAGCUGGUUCUCCCCGAAAGCUAUUUAGGUAGCGCCUCGUGAAUUCAUCUCCGGGGGUAGAGCACUGUUUCGGCUAGGGGGCCAUCCCGGCUUACCAACCCGAUGCAAACUGCGAAUACCGGAGAAUGUUAUCACGGGAGACACACGGCGGGUGCUAACGUCCGUCGUGAAGAGGGAAACAACCCAGACCGCCAGCUAAGGUCCCAAAGUCAUGGUUAAGUGGGAAACGAUGUGGGAAGGCCCAGACAGCCAGGAUGUUGGCUUAGAAGCAGCCAUCAUUUAAAGAAAGCGUAAUAGCUCACUGGUCGAGUCGGCCUGCGCGGAAGAUGUAACGGGGCUAAACCAUGCACCGAAGCUGCGGCAGCGAACGUAUCACCC